ensembl:lncRNA
GUCCCAUAGGGCACGUGGGAGUCCCAUAGGGCACAUGGAGGGCAUGUAGGGGUCCCAUAGGGCCCAUGGAGGGCAUGUGGGGGUCCUAUAGGGCACGUGGAGGUCCCAUAGGGCCCAUGGAGAGCACGUGGGGGUCCCAUAGGGCACGUAGGGGGCACGUGGGGGUCCCAUAGGGCACAUAGGGGUCCCAUAGGGCACACGGAGGUCCCAUAGGGCACGUGGGGGCCCCAUGGGGCACAUGGAGGUUCUGUAGGGCAUGUAGGAGUCCCAUAGAACACAGAGAUGUCUUAUAGUGCACAUAGGAGUCCCAUAGGGCAGACGGCGGUCCCAUAGGGCACAUAGGGGUCCCAUAGGGCACACGGGAGUCCCGUAGGCCACAUGGGACGGAAGAGGACGCGGGGAUCCUAUGGUGGAU